AUACGGAGGAUCCGAGCGUUAUCCGGAUUUAUUGGGUUUAAAGGGUGCGCAGGCGGCCAUUUAAGUCAGCGGUUAAAUCGUGGGGCUCAACCCCAUUCUGCCGUUGAUACUGGGUGGCUUGAUUGCGGUCGAGGUUGGCGGAAUUCGUUGUGUAGCGGUGAAAUGCAUAGAUAUGACGAAGAACACCGAUUGCGGAGGCAGCUGGCCAGACCGCAAAUGACGCUCAUGCACGAAAGUGCGGGGAUCGAACAGGAUUAGAUACCCUGGUAGUCCGCACAGUAAACGAUGAAUACUUGUUUUCGGCGAUAGAAUGUCGGAGGCAAAGCGAAAGCGAUAAGUAUUCCACCUGGGGAGUACGCCGGCAACGGUGAAACUCAAAGGAAUUGGCGGGG
rnacentral:rRNA from 1 species